UUUCCCAUUAAUUUGCUGCUCUAGUCUGUCAGUGAUAGGAGCAGUUAUACGCAUGGGAUAAAACAAUAUUGGGCCAUUGUACGUGGAGAUGAAGUGUGUUUUUGUCUCUUGUAGACAAAUAGUCUAGACACUG